rnacentral:rRNA from 1 species
GUCCACGCUGUAAACGAUGGAUGCUAGCUGGUUGGGGGUUACCUCUCAGUAGCGUAGCUAACGCGUUAAGCAUCCCGCCUGGGGAGUACGGUCGCAAGAUUAAAACUCAAAGAAAUUGACGGGGACCCGCACAAGCGGUGGAACAUGUGGUUUAAUUCGAGGCAACGCGAAGAACCUUACCAGGCUUUGACAUGCCCUCUAUGAGCUCCCGAAAAAGGAGCUCUUCACUUCGGGUGGGAGGUGCACAGGUGCUGCAUGGCUGUCGU